UGAUGUGAAUGGAUGUUGGUCCCCAUGUAAGAAAGGCCCCAGUAGCACUGUCCUUUCCACCUGCGGAACAGAACUUUCAGUUUGCGGAGAAAAAAACUGAACAGACUUUUUGGCCAACCCGGUGUCGUUCCUCAUGACUGAAGGCCUUUCUCUGACACCGUGUGAGGGGCUCACAGCACAGUGGGGCGGGCGGAGGAGUUUGCUGCCCAGCACAGCAAAUGAUGCCUGUCGUACUGGACCGAACACGCCCAGCAGCUUCCCCACCCUAAAAGGAGUAUUGCUAAGAACAAAUUAAUAAAAGCGAACACACUGUCCUCUACUCAC